rnacentral:rRNA from 1 species
GCAUGUGGCUUAAUUCGACGCAACGCGAAGAACCUUACCAAGGCUUGACAUACACCGGAAAGCUCUGGAGACAGAGCCCCCCUUGUGGUCGGUGUACAGGUGGUGCAUGGCUGUCGUCAGCUCGUGUCGUGAGAUGUUGGGUUAAGUCCCGCAACGAGCGCAACCCUUGUCUCGUGUUGCCAGCAGGCCCUUGUGGUGCUGGGGACUCACGGGAGACUGCCGGGGUCAACUCGGAGGAAGGUGGGGACGACGUCAAGUCAUC